GUAGGGAAUAUUGGGCAAUGGAGGCAACUCUGACCCAGCCAUGCCGCGUGCAGGAAGACGGUCCUCUGGAUUGUAAACUGCUUUUGAAUGGGAAGAACAUACGGUUUGCGAACCGUACUGACGGUACUAUUAGAAUAAGCACCGGCUAACUCCGUGCCAGCAGCCGCGGUACUACGGAGGGUGCAAGCGUUAUCCGGAUUUAUUGGGUUUAAAGGGUGCGUAGGCGGCCUUAUAAGUCGGUGGUUAAAGGUAGCAGCUUAACUGUUUUACAUGCCAUCGAUACUGUAGGGCUUGAGUGAUUUGGAGGUAGCUAGAAUUCCCUGUGUAGCGGUGAAAUGCAUAGAUACGGGGAGGAAUACCGAUUGCGAAGGCAUGUUACUACGAAUUAACUGACGCUGAGGCACGAAAGCGUGGGGAUCAAACAGGAUUAGAAACCCCGGUAGUCC
rnacentral:rRNA from 1 species